AUGGUACACAAGCACGAGGCGAGGCGGGAGGAGGAAGAAGGCCUUGAUUGCAGAGCUUUAGAUCUUGCCGCGUGGUCCCGGGGUGGGCGGCAGCUGGGGCCCCUUCUUGAUGGGGAGCAGGUCGGGGGAGGCGGUGGCGCUGACGUAGGCGAGCAGCGAGCCGCCGCCGAGCAGCAGCACCUUGAGCAGCAGCCCCCGCUUGGUGAAGGGCGCGGCGAAGGUGUUGAAGAACUUGCUCUGCAGGCCGUUGUAGGGCGACGCGGCGUCGCUGCCGUACAGGUCCCACUGCCCCGUCGUGUUGGCGAUCUUGCGGCCGGAGAUGGAGCUGCCGGCCAGGCCCCUCACGGCGACCGGCUGGACGGCGACGAGCGACGCCAUUGCGAUCGAGCUGUGCGACUGCGUAUACAGUGGGCGUGUCCUGGUUCUGGAGCUGCGGCGUACGUGCACACGCUUAGAUCGUGGAUGCUGUUAAGGAUUUGA
rnacentral:rRNA from 1 species